CGCACGUAUAUGAAAAACAUCCUUGUCCACACAAAAACCCUGCAUGUAAAGCUGAUGGACUUUGGAGGCGCGCUGCUCGUCGAAGAAAGACGAGAUGCUGAACCUCUAUUAAUCAGUGCAAUCAGAAAAUAUGCUGAAUGGGCAACAACUGAGGACUUACGCAUACUGCUGGAUCUGAUGGUCCCGACAAUAAGUCGUUGCUUUUGGAUGAGACCACGCGUGUCCAAAGAAUGCCUGGAUCUUCUUGAGCACCUUCAUGAUGUAAAGUCACGGAUGACGUUACAGGCUAUGUUGAAGCAUGACUGGUUUAAAAGAAAAACUGAAGCAUAAGAAAAGUUCCCCUGCAUUGGCAGCUCAGGGCCUAUAGUUCAGCUGUAUGGGUCAUCAGCCGGGGACGGUUCACGCUUUAACCCUGGAGCGUGGAUAAGACCACGUGUGUCCAAAGGUUCCCCUGCAUUGGCAGCUCAGGGCCUAUAGCUCAGCUGCGGGGUCAUCAGACUGGGACCCCGGGGACGGUUUACGGCUUUAACCCCGGGACGUUCCCCUUUCACCCCUGCAUGAUGACACUGAUGGCAACUGUCCUCUACUUGUGAACUGUUUGUGUGCCACCAACCUACUCAGAACAUUAUCGCGUCCCACUGAUAGCGGCCUUGUGCGAGCCCCACCUUGCAGCCUGACAGGAAGUGCUGGAGGCUUACAUUUGGACUCCGUUCUUCCAGGCCAGACCACCAUGUUUCAGACAAGCGUCGUGUCAAGCCCAGCCAUUUUCCUGAAUUACUGUGGACAGUGGAUUUCACACAACUUCAGUGUCACACAAUUUAACGCCACACCUUGUACUUGCCUGGAAGCUGGCUUUAAUCAAUCCUUCCUUAGUGAAAAAAUAGCACAAUUUAUUCAAAUGUAAUUUAGUGUAACUAAAUGUAUUUGUGGCACACUGUAAAUUGUUAUACUUAAAGUCUGUUCAAGUGGAUCAACUCAUUUUGUACUAAAUGCAUUUUAGUUGUCCAAAAGCAGUGCUGAAGUUCAGGUUGUAUUAAUUGUAAACUUGAAGUGUGCUAAUGGCAUCAUUAUUGUGUGCUUUUAAUACAUUAAAGU